rnacentral:rRNA from 1 species
GAUGAACGCUGGCGGCGUGCCUAAUACAUGCAAGUCGAGCGAACGGACGAGAAGCUUGCUUCUCUGAUGUUAGCGGCGGACGGGUGAGUAACACGUGGAUAACCUAUCUAUAAGACUGGGCUAACUUCGGGAAACCGGAGCUAAUACCGGAUAAUCUUUUGAACCGCAUGGUUCAAAAGUUAAAGACGGUCUUGCUGUCACUUAUAGAUGGAUCCGCGCUGCAUUAGCUAGUUGGUAAGGUAACGGUUUACCAAGGCAACGAUGGAGAGCCGGCCUGAGAGGGUGAGCGGCCACACUGAAACUGAGACACGGUCCAGACUCCGACGGGAGGCAGCAGUAGGGAAUCUUCCGCAAUGAGCGAGAGCCGGACGGAGCAACGCCGCGUGAGUGAUGAAGGUCUUCGGAUCGUAAAACUCUGUUAUUAUGGAAGAACAUAUGUGUAAGUAACUGUGCACAUCUUGACGGUACCUAAACAGAAAGCCACGGCUAACUACGUG